rnacentral:RNase_P_RNA from 1 species
GAGUCGCGCAACGGCCGCGAGGAAAGUCCCCCCACCUGUUCGGGCAGGUGACCGGACGCAAGUCCGGAGCGGGAGACCGCUGGCUCUGGAACAGAAACGACACGUCUCGGCCCGACCGAUGACGCGCGCGAACCCGACCGAGAGGAAGGGGAGUGAACCCGCAGAGGGACCGGGCGAUUCGGAGUGCGAUCGGCUCGAAGUGCCGUCAGCACGAGAAUCGCCUCCGAACUCGCGGCGUCGCCGCGAGUCGUGUGGUCGCAUCUCGCGCGCGGUUUGAAUCCGCGGAUCGUGCUCGUCACGGUCGACCACACCCAGACGGCCGAGGAUCGAUGGAACGGCGAAUCCUCACCGGUGCAAGUCCGCGCCGUGGUAGCCCGAACACCCUGCGGCUUCGCCGCGGACGGCGCGGACGCUCAGCCGAAUGCCGGGCCGAACAGAAGGGGGCUUACUC